GUAGGUGGCAAGCGUUGUCCGGAAUUAUUGGGCGUAAAGCGCGCGCAGGCGGUUUUUAAGUCUGAUGUGAAAGCCACGGCUCAACCGUGGAGGGUCGAUUGGAAACUGGAGGAACUUGAGUACAGAAGAGGAAAGCGGAAUUCCACGUGUAGCGGUGAAAUGCGUAGAGAUGUGGAGGAACACCAGUGGCGAAGGCGGCUUUCUGGUCUGUAACUGACGCUGAGGCGCGAAAGCGUGGGGAGCAAACAGGGAUUAGAUACCCUGGUAGUCCACGCCGUAAACGAUGAGUGCUAAGUGUUAGGGGGUUUCCCGCCCCUUAGUGCUGCAGCUAACGCAUUAAGCACUCCGCCUGGGGAGUACGGCCGCAAAGGCUG
rnacentral:rRNA from 1 species